GACGAACGCUGGCGGCGUGCUUAACACAUGCAAGUCGAACGGUGAUCUUGGGAGCUUGCUCUUGGGUGAUCAGUGGCGAACGGGUGAGUAACACGUGAGUAACCUGCCCCUGACUCUGGAAUAACUUCGGGAAACCGAAGCUAAUACCGGAUACGACACAGAGCUGCAUGGCUACUGUGUGGAAAGUUUUUCGGUUGGGGAUGGACUCGCGGCCUAUCAGCUUGUUGGUGAGGUAAUGGCUCACCAAGGCGACGACGGGUAGCCGGCCUGAGAGGGCGAUCGGCCACAAUGGGACUGAGACACGGCCCAGACUCCUACGGGGGGCAGCAGUGGGGAAUAUUGCACAAUGGGCGAAAGCCUGAUGCAGCGACGCCGCGUGAGGGAUGAAGGCCUUCGGGUUGUAAACCUCUUUCAGUAGGGAAGAAGCGCAAGUGACGGUACCUACAGAAGAAGCACCGGCUAACUACGUGCCAGCCGCCGCCGUAAGAC
rnacentral:rRNA from 1 species